AGCGCUCACUAUCGUCGUCUUCCCUCCUCUUUCCAGAAAGGCAACACGUUCUGGAGCAACAUCGAGUGUCCCGAGUCUGUCGUCUUUCCCUGGGACGCCAAGUCGACGUACAUCCGCUCGCCGUCGUUCUUCGGCAAAUUAAGUAAAGAGGUCCCGCCCCCUCAGUCGAUCGACAACGCUCACGCUCUGCUGUUCCUCGGCGACAAGGUGACCACCGACCACAUCUCGCCCGCGGGCAGCAUCGCCCGGGUCAGCGCUGCCGCCAAGUACCUGCUCAGCAAAAGGCUGACCCCUCGGGAGUUCAACUCUUACGGCUCCCGGCGGGGCAACGACGCCG